UAGUGACAGAUUUUUGCUAGGGUCAUCAGCGUCUUCGGUGGCCGCGGUCUACGCCGCCGUCUUCUCUAGUUCGCUCGCCUGACUAGCCCCAUGAGAGCGGCUGCGCAAGUGCCUCUCGUUGACAGUGCGUGCAUCAGUAACCUCGCAAAGUCGUUCCUCGCGAACCGCAUCGCAGCGCCGGCCGGAGCUGCGGCCAUCUGGCCGUUCGCCUUUGCUGUGUGCUAGGUCGUCCCCGCUAAAUCUGCAAUCUCCUCCGACGCCUGCGUUGUUGAGCGGAGUCUCCACAUCUAGCAGCAGCGCCGGCGACUCUUAUCCAUCCAUCAAUGGAAGGAGCGUAUCAAUUUACUAUGCAUUAUUUUCCCUUACCCUGCAUUUGUACGAACAGAAAGAAGUACCUUGCUGACAAAUGAAAUAGUUCAGAGAUAACAAUUUGGAACAGAUAAGGCGGCUAUGUCUGCAACACAUUAUAUAUUUAGUGAGGGCCUAGCUUGGACAAGAGGGAUGAACAUUGGAGCAAGAUUAUGCGUGGAGAUGAUGGCAUGUGCAAGGGGAACAAGAACGGAGUUACAAGAGAUGAUUUCAGGACUUUGAAGCCACCAUAAUGAGUGCAUGAAGCCUUGGACGAAAUAUACAAGAUGCCAAUUCAUAAAUUUCGUCCAGAGGCUAUUAUAGGUGCUACGUCACCUUAUUUUUGGGCCAUGCCCAUGUAAUUUCGAAAUAGUCAAGUAUAGGCUGUUUUUUACAGUCCGUAUGUGUGGCGAAACAACAGUUAGGGUUGGUUUCGGACCCCUCCUCCAAGGGCCAUGAAAUUCCCGCCUCUUCCUCCAUAUAUGCAACCCUUAGGGCAUCGUUUAGACUUUGGGUUUUGUUUAGAUUAAAAGUUCGCCAUAGCUGCAACUUCGCGUA